rnacentral:lncRNA from 1 species
GGUUAGACAUAUUGAUGUGUUGAUCUGAUUUAAUCAGCCAGAUGUCAGAUCUGUUAAUUUAGAAGAGACCUAAAUUUAAAUCUUCUCAUUAAAUAUUAAGUUUAGAGGUCUUCCAUUAUUGUAAAAAUGCUGGUACCUUCUUGGCAUUGAUCGUUAUCGACUAGUUAUAGUGGUUCGAUUGCAUCGAGAAGGUACAAUCACUCUAUUGACAUUUGAUGUUCCAGGG